GAACGAACGCUGGCGGCAUGCCUAACACAUGCAAGUCGAACGAGACCUUCGGGUCUAGUGGCGCACGGGUGCGUAACGCGUGGGAACCUGCCCUUAGGUUCGGAAUAACUCCCCGAAAGGGGUGCUAAUACCGGAUAAUGUCUUCGGACCAAAGAUUUAUCGCCUUUGGAUGGGCCCGCGUUGGAUUAGCUAGUUGGUAGGGUAAAAGCCUACCAAGGCGACGAUCCAUAGCUGGUCUGAGAGGAUGAUCAGCCACACUGGGACUGAGACACGGCCCAGACUCCUACGGGAGGCAGCAGUGGGGAAUAUUGGACAAUGGGCGAAAGCCUGAUCCAGCAAUGCCGCGUGAGUGAUGAAGGCCUUAGGGUUGUAAAGCUCUUUUACCCGGGAUGAUAAUGACAGUGCCGGGAGAAUAAGCUCCGGCUAACUCCGUA
rnacentral:rRNA from 1 species